rnacentral:rRNA from 1 species
AUUGAACGCUGGCGGCAGGCCUAACACAUGCAAGUCGAGCGGAUGAGGGAAGCUUGCUUCGCGAUUUAGCGGCGGACGGGUGAGUAAUGUCUAGGAAUCUGCCUAUUAGUGGGGGAUAACGUUCCGAAAGGAAUGCUAAUACCGCAUACGUCCUACGGGAGAAAGUGGGGGAUCUUCGGACCCUCCGCUAAUAGAUGAGCCGAGGUCGGAUUAGCUAGUUGGUGAGGUAACGGCUCACCAAGGCGACGAUCCGUAGCUGGUCUGAGAGGAUGAUCAGCCACACUGGAACUGAGACACGGUCCAGACUCCUACGGGAGGCAGCAGUGGGGAAUAUUGGACAAUGGGCGAAAGCCUGAUCCAGCCAUGCCGCGUGUGUGAAGAAGGUCUUCGGAUUGUAAAGCACUUUAAGUUGGGAGGAAGGGUUGUAAGCUAAUAUCUUGCAGCUUUGACGUUACCAACAGAAUAAGCACCGGCUAACUCUGUGCCAGCCGCCGCAGUAAAAC